rnacentral:lncRNA from 1 species
CGACCACCUGCCCGAUCGGAGCAACGCGGGCAUCGCCGUGGAGACGAGACGACGAGCCGUCAAUGGCGGAUCGAUUCGUCGAUGAUAGGUGGCUCCCGAUCGUCCAGCAGGGGAGACGGAGAUGGUGAACGUACGUACGCGCAGAUCAGAUGGAUGCGCCGGGGCCGGACGGACGGAGGGACAGACAGACAAGCGAAGUCAAGGCUCUAUCGGGGAAUUCGGGAUUGUGGCUGUGCGUGCGUGCGUACUGCGUCGGC